GGAAGCAAACAAACAGGGCUUCAAAAUGUUAUUGCUAAAAGGGGCAGUGAUGGAAUUCCAAAAAAGUAUUCAGAGAACAAUAACUUCGAUGGUCUGCUUUCUAGUUAUUAUCAACACCAUACUUAUUCUGAAUUUCGUAGAUGCAACAACGAAGUGUCUGAGAAUGACUUCACCCUCUCUAUCAGCAAGCCUUGCCAAUUCUAUUGUAUGUACGUACCAAAGAAAUUCAUCAGAAGCCAUGAGAUGGAUCAUAUAAAUGAAGUGAAGCUGCAAGUUGGGAAGAGAUCAUGGAAUGUGAAGCUAGACUGUUACGGUAGAUUCACUUCGGGUUUGCAUGAUUUUUUGAGUCAAUGUAAUGUGGAGGCCGGAGAUGUUUGUCACUUUGAGUUGAUUGAUAAGAAGAAAUUUGUGUUUGAAGUUAGAGUUACGAGAUGCAUCAGCAUCGAUUGAGUUGUUGCAAUUGCUAUUAGUAUCUUCUGAAUUCUUGACCAAGCAUUUCUGUUUUCAAAUCUUGCGUUGAUUUACUAUAAUGUUUUAUUUACAAUUUUAA